rnacentral:misc_RNA from 1 species
UGUUGGCUUUGUUAGAAUGAUUCUCACUUCUCAGCAGCUCUCAGUUUUUCUUUGGUAAAUUUUCCAUCAUAAAAUUUUUGCGAGAUUUGGAUACAGUGCUCAUUCCUUGUCAAUUUUGAUGUUCUUUUCCUUGUGAAUUCCUGUAUCGCCAUUUUGAUAGGUGAAAGCUCUUUUAUGCUUUCCAAGAGUACCCAUUUCAUUAAUGCAUCAUGUAAAUAUCCAACCUUUGUUUUAUUUGUUUGGAGGAAUGAACAAUUCUGGUCUUAACAACUAAUGAACUUCCUCUAGUAAUGUCGU